rnacentral:rRNA from 1 species
GAUGAACGCUGGCGGCGUGCCUAAUACAUGCAAGUCGAGCGAACAGACGAUGAGCUUGCUCCUCUGACGUUAGCGGCGGACGGGUGAGUAACACGUGGAUAACCUACCUAUAAGACUGGGAUAACUUCGGGAAACCGGAGCUAAUACCGGAUAAUAUAUUGAACCGCAUGGUUCAAUAGUGAAAGACGGUUUUGCUGUCACUUAUAGAUGGAUCCGCGCCGCAUUAGCUAGUUGGUAAGGUAACGGCUUACCAAGGCAACGAUGCGUAGCCGACCUGAGAGGGGGAUCGGCCACACUGGAACUGAGACACGGUCCAGACUCCUACGGGAGGCAGCAGUAGGGAAUCUUCCGCAAUGGGCGAAAGCCUGACGGAGCAACGCCGCGUGAGUGAUGAAGGUCUUCGGAUCGUAAAACUCUGUUAUUAGGGAAGAACAAAUGUGUAAGUAACUAUGCACGUCUUGACGGUACCUAAUCAGAAAGCCACGGCUAACUACGUG